rnacentral:rRNA from 1 species
AAGGCCUCGAUGCGAGCACCCCCGCGUGAGUGAAGAAGGGUUUCGGCUCGUAAAACUCUGUUGUUGAAGAAGAACAUAUCUGAGAGUAACUGUUCAGGUAUUGACGGUAUUUAACCAGAAAGCCACGGCUAACUACGUGCCAGCAGCCGCGGUAAUACGUAGGUGGCAAGCGUUGUCCGGAUUUAUUGGGCGUAAAGCGAGCGCAGGCGGUUUUUUAAGUCUGAUGUGAAAGCCUUCGGCUCAACCGAAGAAGUGCAUCGGAAACUGGGAAACUUGAGUGCAGAAGAGGACAGUGGAACUCCAUGUGUAGCGGUGAAAUGCGUAGAUAUAUGGAAGAACACCAGUGGCGAAGGCGGCUGUCUGGUCUGUAACUGACGCUGAGGCUCGAAAGUAUGGGUAGCAAACAGGAUUAGAUACCCCCAGUAGUCAA